rnacentral:tRNA from 2 species
CGCGGGGUAGAGAAGUAGUAUCUCGCAAGGCCCAUAACCUUGAGAUCGUUGGUGCAAUUCCAACCCCCGCAACAA